UGGGUGUCUAAACAGGAAGGAGAAGACCUGCUUGCUUUCGCUCCUGUUCUAAGUUAAAGCCUCCCCAGGGUCCCAAGACCUCUCCAAUCAGUUCCUGAAAUAUAACUCCAGGUGCUACGUAUACCAUAUUGUGCCCUUAUACAUACCUGUGAUCAAGUUUGGUUUAAAAAUUAGGCAAAGUAACAUUAAAUUGUACCUGUUUAUAAGAAAUUGUCUUCCUAUUUACCCCCACCCUCUUGCCUCAUUGCUGGUAACUAAAAGGAAAGAAAACAUUGAAAAUGAGGGAUACUAAUUUCUGUAGUAGGGCUGUAGUUGGGGGUGAUUAGGUCUCUGUCAAGAAGGUGAAUGUUUUGAGUAAUGUCUACUUUAUCAAAUUCAUACUCUUUGCUAGAACUUGAAAGGAAAGGUCAUGAAAUGAAGUUAAUCUCCCCACAUGGCAGAAACAGGAUGGAUUAGCUAUGGAAUAAAUAAAAGUUAGCCUGUGUGUCAGUAUUGUGAGUGUUAAAUAAGUUAUAAUGUGCAGAGGGCUUAGUACAGAUCCUGAAAUACAGGAUCCCUAUAAAGGCUAACUGUUAAAUGGAGGCCUACACAAGCAGGGAAGGAAGUAGCCUUUGACUGGUUUGCAAGUCAGACCACAAUGCUUGCAAUAUUCCGAGCUGCUGUGUACCCCAUGGCUGUACUCCAACCCAAGGUUGAGAAGAGCCCUUGGUUUCUAAGAAAGGUUUACCUCAAAAUAAACAGGGCUCAAAAUACUCAGGUAUUUUGUCCAUUCACAUGUCUCAAAAUAGAAUAAUUUCUGCUUUCUAGCUUACAUUUUUAUUCUUUGGCUCAAACAGGACCGUGCUAGGAUGAGACUUUUGGCCUUUCGGUGCUUGUGCUAACUACCAGUUUGUAAUUAAAGCCCAACAACUCCAAAACUCUGCCGGGAUAGAACUCAUGUAGCAGUGUCUUCUGUCGUCUUCGAAUCCCAUGGCAUAGAAGCACUUACAAGCCUUCCCAUGUGACAGUAACUCCCAAGUUUUAUACUAAUGCUUUAUUUCAUUUCUGAUUCCCUUUUGAUAAGAGAAAUUUCUGUAACAUGGUAUUAGAAGUCUACAAGGCCAUCUUGAAAUUCUGUGCUUUGCUAAUCUAACUUAUUUAACUUAUAGGGAAUGUUUAGUACUCAAAUUUCAACCUUGUGUCAUUGUAUAUAGUAAUAAACAGUUUUAUUUAAUUUGUAGCGGGGAAAAUCACAUACCCCCCCCCAAAAAAAAUUCAAAAGCCUCCAUUACUACAAGUUUGCUCAUCCACUCUCUGGUCCAUCUAGCCUUGUCACACGCAGGGUUGAUGUAGGGACUGCUCUUUCUUCUCAUGCCUACUACUCUGCAAUGCAAAGGAAGACUUCAAAGAUCCUACCCACCCCAAAGUAGAAGUUUAAGGGCA
rnacentral:lncRNA from 1 species